UGAAAGAGUGAGCAUUUCAAUUGAGAGCUAUGGGAGGCAAGGAGGAUGAUGGAAUGGAUAAUGCCUGGUGAUAAAAUGAAGAGGAGUAUAAAGUAACAUCUGCAAGGAGAAGAGAAUUGAUUACAGCCUGGAAGAAGAAUUAAAGUCUAAGGACUCAUCAAAUGAUACGGAAGAUAGAAGGACCUAAAUUAUCACUGCUGAUUUCAUGUAAGUGAAAUGGAAAUGUCACUUCUUGUUGAACAGAAUAUACAAACUUUAAAAGCAGACAGGAA
rnacentral:lncRNA from 11 species